rnacentral:rRNA from 1 species
AUUGAACGCUGGCGGCAGGCCUAACCCAUGCAAGUCGAGCGAGCGGCGGACGGGUGAGUAAUGUAUGGGGAUCUGCCCGAUAGAGGGGGAUAACUCCUGGAAACGGUGGCUAAUACCGCAUAACAUCGGCUGUGGUCAGAUGGGAGUAGCUAGUUGCGGGGGUAACGGCUGACCAAGGCGACGAUCCCUAGCUGGUCUGAGAGGAUGACCAGCCAAACGGGAACUGAGACACGUGCCAGACUCCUACGGGAGGCAGCAGUGGGGAAUAUUGCGCAAUGGGCGCAAGCCUGACGCAGCCAUGCCGCGGGUAGGAAGAAGGUCUUCGGGUGGUAAAGUACUUUCAUCGAGGAGGCGUGACCCGCAGAAGAAGCACCGGCUAACUCCGUGCCAGCAGCCGCGGGAAGAC